UCUCUGUCUCUCUCUCUCUCUGUCUCUCUCUCUCUGUCUCUCUCUCUCUCUCUGUCUCUCUCUCUCUCUCUAUCUGUGUCUCUUUCUCUCUCUCUGUCUCCCUCUCUAUCUGUGUCUCUCUCUCUAUCUGUGUCUCUCUCUCUCUCUCUGUUUCCCUGUUUCUGUCACUGAGUCCUGUCUGUGUUCUCCUCCUCAGGGAAGACAUCUCUUUCUCUAUCUGGGACCGCUGGACUGUGUGGGGUCACCAACACUUCUCCCUCUCGGACUUCAUCAACGCAGUGCUGGUGCAUUAUGGGAUAGAGCCUACCAUGGUUGUCCAUGGAGUGAAGAUGCUCUAUGUUCCUGUGAUGCCAGGACACAACAAGAGACUGAAACUAACGAUGCAGAAGUUGAUCAAACCGUCUGUAGACCGUCGCUAUGUUGACCUGACCGUGUCCUUCGCUCCAGAGUCAGAUGGUGAUGAGGACCUUCCUGGACCCCCCGUUAGGUACUACUUCAGCCCUGACGGAGACGCUCACACCGCCUGACACGCCCGGACCAUAACAUCCCUGACGCCCCUCAAACUAACCAAAUAUAACCACCCCUCAGUCCCCUCAAACUAACCCUCUGUACCUGCAAAACCCUAGUUGACAACAUUGGUGCUUCUUGAACAGGGGUGGAUUCUAGAACAGGGGUAGAUUCUAGAACAGGGGUGGAUUCUAGAACAGGGGUGGAUUCUAGAACAGGGGUGGAUUCUAGAACAGGGGUGGAUUCUAGAACAGGGGUGGAUUCUAGAACAGGGGUGGAUUCUAGAACAGGGGUGGAUUCUAGAAUAUAUGGUGGAUUCUAGAAUAUAUGUUGAUUCUAGAACAGAUGUUGAUUCUAGAACAGAUGGUGAUUCUAGAACAGAUGGUGAUUCUUGAACAGGGCUGGCCCCAUGAACCAUUAUUAGAGAAAGAGCAUAUAGGUAGAAAGAGGGCUGUAGAUGGAUAUAACCUGGUCUGAUGAGUUCUCUUUCUACCUCUAUGAGAAGAGGGAAGCACUUGGCUGUGUACAUAGUAGUCCCUCUGUGUUUUCUACUCUGGUUUAAAGCACAGCUCUGACUGGUGUUUUCUACUCUGGUUUAAAGCACAGCUCUGACUGGUGUUUUCUACUCUGGUUUCAAACACAACUCUGACUGGUGUUUUCUACUCUGGUUUAAAGCACAGCUCUGACUGGUGUUUUCUACUCUGGUUUAAAGCACAGCUCUGACUGGUGUUUUCUACUCUGGUUUCAAACACAGCUCUGACUGGUGUUUUCUACUCUGGUUUAAAGCACAGCUCUGACUGGUGUUUUCUACUCUGGUUUAAAGCACAGCUCUGACUGGUGUUUUCUACUUUGGUUUAAAGCACAGCUCUGACUGGUGUUUUCUACUCUGGUUUAAAAGCACAGCUCUGACUGGUGUUUUCUACUCUGGUUUAAAGCACAGCUCAGACUGCUAUGCACAUACCUUAACUAACAACCUUGUUGUGUUUGUCUCGACGACGAUGAUGAUGAUGAUGAUGAUGAUGAUGAUAAGAAUAAAAACGACAGUGUUUACACACCCAUACAUA